CCCCAGACUCCUACGGGAGGCAGCAGUGGGGAAUAUUGGGCAAUGGGCGCAAGCCUGACCCAGCAACGCCGCGUGAAGGAAGAAGGCUUUCGGGUUGUAAACUUCUUUUCUGAGGGACGAUAGUGACGGUACCUCAGGAAUAUGCCACGGCUAACUACGUGCCAGCAGCCGCGGUAAUACGUAGGUGGCAAGCGUUAUCCGGAUUUACUGGGUGUAAAGGGCGUGUAGGCGGGAUGGUAAGUCAGAUGUGAAAACUAUGGGCUCAACCCAUAGCCUGCAUUUGAAACUGUGUUUCUUGAGUACUGGAGAGGCAGACGGAAUUCCUAGUGUAGCGGUGAAAUGCGUAGAUAUUAGGAGGAACACCAGUGGCGAAGGCGGCUUACUGGACUGUAACUGACGUUGAGGCUCGAAAGCGUGGGGAGCAAACAGGAUUAGAUACCCCAGUA
rnacentral:rRNA from 1 species